rnacentral:rRNA from 1 species
CGAGCGGCAGCACGGGUACUUGUACCUGGUGGCGAGCGGCGGACGGGUGAGUAAUGCCUAGGAAUCUGCCUGGUAGUGGGGGAUACGUUCGGAAACGGACGCUAAUACCGCAUACGUCCUACGGGAGAAAGCAGGGGACCUUCGGGCCUUGCGCUAUCAGAUGAGCCUAGGUCGGAUUAGCUAGUUGGUGAGGUAAUGGCUCACCAAGGCGACGAUCCGUAACUGGUCUGAGAGGAUGAUCAGUCACACUGGAACUGAGACACGGUCCAGACUCCUACGGGAGGCAGCAGUGGGGAAUAUUGGACAAUGGGCGAAAGCCUGAUCCAGCCAUGCCGCGUGUGUGAAGAAGGUCUUCGGAUUGUAAAGCACUUUAAGUUGGGAGGAAGGGCAUUUACCUAAUACGUAAGUGUUUUGACGUUACCGACAGAAUAAGCACCGGCUAACUCUGUGCCAGCAGCCGCGGUAAUACAGAGGGUGCAAGCGUUAAUCGGAAUUACUGGGCGUAAAGCGCGCGUAGGUGGUUUGUUAAGUUGAAUGUGAAAUCCCCGGGCUCAACCUGGGAACUGCAUCCAAAACUGGCAGGCUAGAGUAUGGUAGAGGGUGGUGGAAUUUCCUGUGUAGCGGUGAAAUGCGUAGAUAUAGGAAGGAACACCAGUGGCGAAGGCGACCACCUGGGACUGAUACUGACACUGAGGUGCGAAAGCGUGGGGAGCAAACAG